UUUUUCACGACACUAAACUAUUGUAGACUUGCACAGAGAGUCACUUUUCACCUAUUGAACAUCCCUUUGAACGAUGGACAGACAGCUGAUUUUAGUGGGUGAUCAUGAAACUCAAGAGUCUGAAGGUGGAGAAGCUGAUCUACACAAAUAUUUAGCUGGCUGUAAAAAAAAAUCCAGGUCAUAGACAGUUUAUACCUAUUGAUAAAUUCACAUUGAAACAUUUACCCGAAAUUCUUCAAGACAAGGAUUUGUAUGAAUACACCAAAGUUAUAGCUGAUUUGACAGUUAGAGUAAAUGUUAAAACCACCAGUUCCGAAAGGCCAAAGUUUUGGCCAUAUCUAUAUUUGGCCACUCAACCAUAUCCAUUUUAUAACAUGAGGGGCAGAAGACACUUUAAGACUUUAAGACAGGAAGCGGAAAAAUGUGUUAUGUGAAUAAGUUUUAAAGUGGGGAAAGGAUUAAUAAAGAUUUUGCAGAAAGUAAGUACACAAAGUGUUGGUGCAGAAAAUGUCAAGAUUCAGACACAGAGUUUUAUGCACACACAGCGGCAGCCACACACCUAAUUUUUGAUGACAUUGAGGCCAGCCACACGACCUUAAGAUUGUUUUAUGAUAGAGACGAUAUUCCAGUGGUUAGUGUUGCUAAGGUUAGUGUUGUAGAUGUAAACACUCAAGAAGACUGGUGCAAGUUGAACUGUGUGACAUGUGACAAAAAUAUUGGAAAUAAACUGAUGGACAUCUGGAAACGAUAUGAAAAUGUCUGGAGGAAAGUUAAUAACAAAUACUUCUACUCUAGAGAUCAACACAAAUUUACCUUUAUAGUGUCACAUCCUCAAGGCUGUUCUAAGCAGAUCAGUGUUGGUCAAUGGAUGGACAAACAAAUGAUAGGUUUUAGUACCAGGUU
rnacentral:sRNA from 1 species